rnacentral:rRNA from 1 species
GCUUAACCAUGCAAGUCGCGCGUGAAAGGACUUCGGUCCGAGUAAAGCGGCGCACGGGUGAGUAACGCGUGGAUGAUCUACCCAUGAGUUAGGAAUAACGGCUGGAAACGGUCGCUAAUACCGAAUACGCUCCGAUUUCAACUUCGGGGGAAAGGUGGCCUCUGCUUGCAAGCUACUGCUCAUGGAUGAGUCCGCGUCCCAUUAGCUAGUUGGUGGGGUAACGGCCCACCAAGGCGACGAUGGGUAGCCGGUCUGAGAGGAUGACCGGCCACACUGGGACUGGAACACGGCCCAGACUCCUACGGGAGGCAGCAGUGGGGAAUAUUGCGCAAUGGGCGAAAGCCUGACGCAGCGACGCCGCGUGAGGGAUGAAGGUCCUCGGAUCGUAAACCUCUGUCAGGAGGGAAGAACCGCCACGGUGCUAAUCAGCCGUGGUCUGACGGUACCUCCAAAGGAAGCACCGGCUAACUCCGUGCCAGCAGCCGCGGUAAUACGGAGGGUGCGAGCGUUAAUCGGAAUCACUGGGCGUAAAGCGCACGUAGGCUGCUUGGUAAGUCAGGGGUGAAAGCCCGCGGCUCAACCGCGGAAUUGCCUUUGAUACUGCCGAGCUAGAGUCCGGGAGAGGGUUAGUGGAAUUCCAGGUGUAGGAGUGAAAUCCGUAGAGAUCUGGAGGAACAUCAGUGGCGAAGGCGACUACCUGGACCGGUACUGACGCUGAGGUGCGAAAGCGUGGGGAGCAAACAGGAUUAGAUACCUGGGGUA